GUGCUGACUUUAUGUGGGUAUUGAGGCAGGGGGAGUUAGGAGAACUGGAGUCGAAGGCUAAAGACAGCCCCUAUUCAUGCAUUAUAGAGGACAACCAACUUAUGCGUGACCAACUAACAUGCGACUGUGCAUGUGUGUAUUGCAUCCACAACACAUUGCUGAAAACAAUUCCCCUGAUAUUUGGGAUGAUGGCAGUUCAAAAAGUACACAGUUUAUGGUGCUUGGAAUUGUGCCGCAAUAUGUUUGAGGUUAGAGGAGUUCAGGGCCUUGAAACCAGGGCUGAAUAUGGAUCCUUUCCAUUAAAAACUAUUGGAUUACACUAUCAUUAGCAACACAUUUUUGCCGCAAAGCCAUUUCCCCGCUAAAGGGAUUGUUUGCAUAAUUGGAUCUUAAGCACGCACGCAGCUGCGCCCAUUGUUAGUAAGUAAAAUGUUUGCACAGGUGAAUACAGUCGUACACAAAGGAGGUACGUGCUAGUCCAUAUCCCAAGGACUGUUUAUUUGCAGGUGGCGGCUGCUCUGGAGCAAGCGAGUUGCAGAUUUCAGGUUCUCUUAAUGGAGUCCCCAGCUGACAAUGCAUGGCCUGCUGGACUCCAACUUCCACCAUCCCUCACCAUUGGACUCUCUGGCUGGGGCUGAUCAUAGAAUCAUAGAACUGUAGAUUUGGAGGGGAACCCAGGGGUCAUCUAGUCCAACCCCGUGCAAUGCAGGAAUCUCAACUAAAGCAUCCAUGGUAGAUGAUGGGAGUUAAGAGUUCAGAACAUCUGGAGGGGGACUAGGUUGCCCACCACAGCACUAUGGAAACUUAUCACUAAAAACUCUUUUAUUAUUUUUGAUCUUGCACGAUAUGCAGGUGAGAUAAAUUAUUCCCAUUUCACAGGUGGGAAAGCUGACGCUAAGCGGAGAAGUGAUUUCCCCGAAGGCAUUCUCUGAACUUACAGCAGAACUGCAGCCCAGACCUGCUUUCCAAGCACACCUGUGCUAGGCAAAUUGCGGAGAGAUGGAUGAUGAAGCUGGUACAUGCAUCAAUUGUGUGAUGCCUUCAGUUUUUCCAAUACUGUGCCUAGGGUUGCCAUGUGUCUGGAAUUUCCCAGACAUACCCGGAACACUGCAGUCGGUAGCAGUGUCCAGGUGGAAACCAGCAAAAAAAAGUUCGACAACUUUGGUCCACGUGACGACGGUCACGCUUGCAAAAAGGCCCAUUUCCCCUCCACACUGAUAAAGUGUCCAUAACAUUGAAUGAGUCCACAGAACUGCUACUAGGUUCAAUACCUGACUCAGUUCUGAGCACCGUUCUAUUGCUACCACCGCUCCAGAAACUCUUGUUUAAAACCCUAGUAGGUCUUAAGCUUAGACACAGCAUCUCUCCACCACUAGGUGUCCUUGGGGGAUAAUGUUCUUUAUAGAAUCUUGCCUUAUUCUCUCUCCUAGUUCUUUAGUUUGGCACGGUUGCUCAAUUAUUUCAAUUCAAGCUUUUGAAGGGGGGGCGGGGGAGGAGAAUGAGAUUCUAAAUUACCAGUAGUAAAUGAUCUAAUGAUAAUAAUGUAGCAGCAGGGAUCACUGCUCUAUAAAUAGUCAAAAUGUGCAACGCAGUUUGCUAUUCUAUUAACAUUCUGCUAAUGUUUCCUAACAUUGCGAACCUCUGAUUGCUUCUUAGGCAGGGGGCUAGGCCUUGCAUUGCUGUCAAGCCUGGCCAAAUGUGUUUUCCUGUCUAUGCCAGGGUCCUCCAGAUGCUCUUUUUUUGUUGUGUGCUCACAGUGGUACUGGAGCAGAUGUAUGUGAUCCUGCUUUCGAUGCUACUAGCAUCUGCAAAAGUUUCAUGGGGGACGUGUUGCUUCUGGCCUCUGCAUGUCCCAUAAGUUCCUGCUGAACCCUUGAAACUUCUUAUAUCACAAAUGUUUUGUGUGUGUGUGUGUGUGAGUGGCCUGCUUUUGUUGCCCUAUAGCACAACAACAACAACAACAACAACAACAACAACAACAAUUUAUGAUUUAUACCUCACCCAUCUGGCUAGGUUUUGCGAGCAAAAUAUUGAAAUACAAUAAUUCAUCAAAUAUUAAAACUCCCCUAAUCAGGGCUGCCUUCAGAUGUCUUCUAAAAGUCAGAUAGUUUUUUAUUUCCUUGACGGGAGGGUGUUCCACAGGGUGGGUGCCACUACUGAGAAGGCCGUGUACCUGGUUCCCUGUAACUUCGCUUCUUGUAGUGAGGGAACCGCCAGAAGGCCCUUGGAGUUGGACCUCAAUGUCCGGGCUGAACGAUGGGGGUGGAGACACGCCUUCAGGGAUACUGGGCUGAGGUCGUUUAGGGCUUUAAAGGUCAGGACCAACACUUUGAAUUGUGCCUGGAAACGUACUGGGAGCCAAUAUAGGUCUUUCAGGACCGGUGUGGUGACAAGAGUGACCCUCCAGACAGCCAUACUACACAGGAACCCAGGGGAGGCAUUGCAGGACAACUAAUACAGUGGUACCUUGGUUCUCGAAUGUAAUAUGUUCCGGAAGACUGUUCAAUAUCCAAAACGUUCAGAAACUGAGGUGCAAAGGACUUGCUGCAAGUUCAACUGGAAAAACUGAAAAAUACAUAGCGAAAGCCGUUCAGCUUUCAGCAUUCAAAAACCGAAACAUUCAGCUUCUGAGACUCUCAAAAACCGAGGUAUAGCAGAAUGAUACAGUAUAAAUCCAACAAUGAUUACUGUGUAAGUUACAUGUUGCAGAAUAUGUCUGCCCCAAAAACCACUAGCUUGGAGUGUUUAUUUUUAAACAAACUAGUGCAGUUUUGUGCUUUUACAAAAUCAUGGGAUCAUAGAAUUGGAGAGUUUGAAGGGACCACAAGGGUAUUGGAUUGGAUUGGAUUGUACUGUAUUUAUUUAAAUUUGUUUACUGCCCUAUACCCACAGGUCUCAGGGUCUCUAUCCAAUCCCCUACAAUGCAGGAAUUGUUUUGCCCCAAGUGGGGCUCAAACCCACAAUCCUGAGAUUCAGAGUCUCAUGCUCUGAAUCUGAUGGAGCCAUAUUGUUCAGUUCAAGUUCAUCCAGAUGAAUGUUUUAAAGGUAAAGGUAAAGGGCCAGUCGUGACCGACUCUGGGGUUGCGCGCCCAUCUCGCUUAAGAGGCCGGGGGCCAGCGCUGUCCGGAGACACUUCCGGGUCACGUGGCCAGCGUGACGAAGCUGCUCUGGCGAGCCUGCACCAGCGCAGCACACGGAAACGCCGUUUACCUUCCUGCUAUGAAGCGGUACCUAUUUAUCUACUUGCAUUUAAGAGUGCUUUCGAACUGCUAGGUUGGCAGGAGCUGGGACCGAGCAAUGGGAGCUCACCCCGCCGUGGGGAUUUGAACCGCCAACCAUACGAUCGGCAAGUCCUAGGCACUGAGGUUUUACCCACAGCGCCACCCGCGUCCCUUGAUGAAUGUUUUAGUUCGUCAUAACUUCAUCCUUGGCCAUUUCCCCCAGCAUUCAGAACAUUUUGCUGAAAUAGAGGUUCCAAAAGUAAAUCACCAACCACACAUGAUGAUGAUGAUAUAUUUAUUUAUACACCGCCUUUUCCUCUGAUGAGACUCAAGGCCACUUAUAGAUAAACUGCUAAAAACAUAGAAGAAUCAACCAUUAAAAUACAAUUAAACAUGGAUAGAACACACACACACACACACACACACACACACACACUUAAAGCAUAGCAAUAAUCACAAUAAAAAUGGUUGACAUUCACAGGUAUACUGCUUCCAUUUGUGUGGGUUCCAUUUAAUUAUCCUGAUACACUAGCCAUGUAUAUACUGAUCCUCAAUGAUAAUCAAAACUGACAGAUCCAUUCAUCCUUACUUGGAGAAUGUGUUCCACUGUGAGAUACAGAUUUGGUACUCACCAGCUGGUGGGUGCAUCUAGCAAGGAAAUAGGUACAGGAUCUUUUAAGUAGAGUAUAGUAACCAAGGAAUUUCCAAGGUUUUACCUGCCCUUGUUUCUCUUUCCCAGCAUGGUCUACAUUGCAGUCUAGAAUUAGCCAGCUCUGGGAUGCUUUUCUUCGCAUUGUGUCUUUACAAUAGACCAUUUCCCGCCUCUCCUGGGAUGCUGCUUAGACAAAUAGGUUAAGUUUGGGAUUCCUUUUCUUGCGAUUUCCCCAAGGUCACGUGAGACAUUGUUCAGCUUUGUGUUUCAGCUCAAGACGGUGACAUAUUAAGAUAAACACUGGACCGCGCUGACAAAGGAUGUUUAUAGCUGUAGCAUGCCCCCGAGAACAGCUAUAGGCAAAACACUGCGAGCCAAAUUUAGCGCUACGUCUCCAGAGAGGCAAAUGUUUCCUGAUUCCUACCACUCAGUAAGCAACUGUAUUUUGCAAUGUAAUGUACAACACGCCAGCAGGCACUAUGGCUCCCCGCUCCACCGGCUGUUAUCACAGGGGACAGAUGACAGUGGAACACAGAGUGAUUGUAAUACAUAAUAAAAGAACCUUUCCUUAGCUGUUAAGAUCAGCAGCCAAAGUGGAGUAUGGCUUCUCUCAACAAUGCAAGGUGGUUUCUCUGUCAUCUAUUAUUGGCCUUUGGUCAACGGGCUAGAUUAGGAUUCUUUUUUCCUUUUUCGGAAAUAAUUUUUAUUUGAUUUUACAAGUGUAGAGUUAUAACAAUACCAAAUAAAUACCCACAUUUAGAGAUUUCUCUGAAUCUCUAGACGUCCCUCCAUCCCCUCCUUGGGUCUUACUGUCAACGUUUUCAACUGCAUAUUAUUUCAUAAUCCAUAUAGUGGUACCUUGGUUUACGAACUUAAUCCGUUCCGGAAGUCCGUUCUUAAACCAAGGUGUGCUUUCCCAUAGCAGUGGGGGACUCAAUUUACAAAUGGAACACACUCAAGAGGAAACGGGACCUGUUCUUAUUCCAAGGCUAAGUUCACAAACCGAAAUACCUACUUCCGGGUUUGCAGCGUUCUUGAUCCAAGUUGUUCAUAAACUAAGCUGUUCUUAAACCAAGGUACCACUGUAUUUUAAAUCUAUAUUGUCCAUAUUACUUGUUACAUUACAAGUGUUAUUAGAAUCCUGCUAAUGUUUCCAUCUGCUUACAGUGGUCUCCUAAAUAAAUUAUAAAUUGUUCCCAUUCUUUCUUAAAGUUUUUGUCUUCUUGGUUCCUGAGCUUUCCGGUCAGUGUUGCAAUUUCAGCAUAGUCCAUCAGCUUGAUUUGCCAUUCCUCUUGGGUCAGGACUAUCUUCUUUCCAUCUCUGGGCUAGUAACAUCCGCACAGCUGUUGUUGCAUACAUAAAAAGUCUUUUCUGGUCCUUUGGAAUAUCUGUACCUACUAGAUUAGGAUUCUUCAUUCGGUGGCAACCGGCCUCUGCCCUUCCAGAAUGUUCAUGAACGAUACAGUAGAAUGUAUACAAAAUGCAUAAACAGGCCUUGGAGAUCUGUGAACAGUUAUCCUGAUGUUUCUAUUUUCACAAAUAUGGGGGCAUGGAGGGGAAAGGGUGAUAAUAGGCUGCUUACCCAGUCUCAGGGUGGGCGGCUGUUGUGGCCCUGCAGCUGCAAGCUCCAUCCCCCAGGGAGCAACACUGGGCUAAGUGGCCAGCAUUUGGGGAAAUCCCCAGGCCAGCUGUGGUGGGCUUUCUGGCCACCCAAUAUUUGAAUUCUGGCCAAUCUUGCCUCACUGCGUGGGUGGGGUUUGGGAGUGGACCAUAGUGGAGCAGGCUUCACUGCAGUCCACCCCCAGCCUAUAAAAGGGUUUCCUGUCCUAAAUCCAAAGUGGCUAUUUAUCCUCACUGGGGGAAAAACAUAUGAAUGCCUCACUGGAAAUGACAACUACAGCUGCCACCAUCCCUGACCGUUGGCUGUCCUGGUUGGCACUGAUGGAAGUCGGAGUCUAACGCCAUCUGCAAGGCCACAGAUCCUCCACCCCAGCUAUAGAUGAGACUGCUUCUCUUGAUUUCUGGAACUUUAUUGGUCUUGUAAGGAAAAGCUUAAUUGUCACUUUCAAUACAGGAGUGUUGAUUACACGUAUGAUCAAGGCUUCGUUUCUAAAAGGAGAGCUAACAGGUUUUGGAGAGGAACACAUGUUAUACAUAAAUAAAACUCCUACACACUUUACUGGCAAGCUAACAAAACAGGCUGUUUGUGGCUGGUAUAAUACCAGGAAGGAACAGAAAGAAAAUAGAAAAGAAGGUCUAAGGCCCCCUCCAGACAUCCUUUCUAUUGCGCAUCCACAAUGAUUUAUCCACAUGACAGUAUCAAGGUGGUCAUGUACAAUGCUACUUUCAAUACUGUUCAAGCCCAUAAAAGUUGGUGUGUGUGUGUGGACAUACAGCCUUCAGCCAGUGAACACCUCAUAAUUUCCUGCUGAAAUCCUGCAACUUUUUAUGCCACGAUUAUGCCAGGUUUUGUUGUCCCACUUUUGUUGAGCUAUAGUGCCAGAGUGCCCCUGCAGAUGGCAAUAAUGCAACAACAUUGCACUAACAUCACAUUAUUGCGUAAAUGACACGUUGGGAAAUACACCUGCAAAAAAACCCCACUAGUCUGAGACCUUAAGGUUGGGAUCCUGCUCCAUUCCAUAAUAGGAAGAGGUUCUUCAAAUUGCUGUACCAGAGAUGAAGGCUCCCUGGAAAUUCCCACACAGAAGUACUUCUUCUAAUCUUAAACAGGAAGGCGGAUUGAUAGUGGUCACUCAGCAGGGCAGGUCUUGCUCUUUACUGCACACUUUAAGACGCUGAACUCUGAAAACACCUCUCACAAAAUAAAGCCCUGGUGUGACUAACAGCCUAUCAAAUGCCACAUAGUUCUUUCCAAUCCAGCCCCAAAUGAACAAACUCACAGAUGACAAAGUAGAGAAGAAGAAAAGAGACUGUCAAAGAAGGAUGGUUAGAAUAUGUCACUGGGCAUAUUCUUUCAUUGAGACAGAAUUUCUUUUGGUUUCUUUUCCAAAGGCUUUCUCCACUUUCGCACUGGAAGAUUCGGAAGAGACAAAAAAAAGUGCUUCUUCACACAGUGCAUAGCUAAACUAUGGAGGUUAUGACGGCCACCAACUUGGAUGGCUUUAAAAGUGGAUUAGAUGAAUUCAUGGAGGAUAUGAUGACCAAUGGCUCCUAGUUAGGAUGGUUAUUUUCAACAUGUUGAAGUCAGUACAGUGGUACCUCUGCUUAAGUACUUAAUUCAUUCCGGAGGUCCGUACUUAACCUGAAACUGUUCUUAACCUGAAGCACCACUUUAGCUAAUGGGGCCUCCUGCUGCUGCCGCGCUGCCAGAGCAUGAUUUCUAUUCUCAUCCUGAAGCAAAGUUCUUAACCUGAAGCACUAUUUCUGGGUUAGCGGAGUCUGUAACCUGAAGCGUAUGUAACCCGAGGUACCACUGUAAUGCCUCUGAAUACCAUUUUCUGGGAACUGCAGGCAGGGAGCGGCCACUGUGAGAUGAACCUUGGGUCACAUCCAUCUGGGAUCUUCUCAUGCUUUUAUGCCCUUGUGGUUGUCUAGUCUUUUGGGCUUUGUAUUUAUACAGGGGAGAACUGCUACCCUGUGCCAAAAUGGCAGCCUCCAUGUCCUGCUGGUGUAAGCUGCUUCAUUCAAGCCAGUGGUUUGGGGUUUGCUUAUCUAUUGGUUACAAGAGCCACCACAUUUUCUUCUUCUUCUCCUUCUUCUUCAUCAUCAUCAACGUUUUGUAUGAGUUUCGCAGAAAAUGCAGUAAAGAAUAAGCAAGGGACCACCCAGUGUAGCCACCAGGUGGAGACGAAGUGCAGUUAUUUAAUAUUGAAGCUAACUGCCUUUUAAUGUAAAAGUUUCCCAAUAUUUUUAAAGAAUAUUAUUGUGUAUAACUGGCGCCAUGUGACUGACAUGGGGCUGUCACAGAAAAUGUUGUGUUCCUCCUUCAUAACAUGCAGCUGUGCCAUAUUUACCCUGAUGCAAAAAGUGCAAAGCCCUAAAAUGUGGUGGGUAAGAAAAUGAAACCAUGGAAACCUUAAAUUGGAUUUUUUUCAUGAUACAGACAACCCCCCCACAAGCCCAGCUAGCUCCAGCACCCACCCUCAACCCCCCAUAACCUCCUUGCCCUCCACACACCCCUCAAACUCCAGCCCUCGCAGGCCUGCCUGCACCCUGCCAGCUACACCCUUCCCUACCAGUCCAGCACCCCAGGGCCUGCUCCUAGCCAGGGUCUCAUCCAGCUGCCAUCUUCUUUUCAGGCUUACUUUCUCCUUCUUGUUUUUAUUUGGCAUGGUCAGGCUGGAAAGUUGCAGCUUCCCAUGGCUGGGACAUUCGUCUCGCUUCUUCUCUUCCUGCUACUGCUACUGCUGCUACUCCAUCGGCUGGCUCUCUCCCAUCGACCUGGUGCAAGACUCAGUGCAAGACUCUCCCUCGGACCUGGCGCAAGAUUCCUCCAGCACAUCUUCUCUGACUCCUGGAAGUGGUGGCAAAGGAGGAGGAGGAGGAGGAAGAGGUAGCACAGUGACCUCAGUAGGCAAUUCUCUCUUCUCCCUACCUUCUCCAAGAGGAAGCCAUUUCUGGCUAGCGUACCUCAACAAAGAUGGG